rnacentral:rRNA from 1 species
GACGAACGCUGGCGGCGUGCUUAACACAUGCAAGUCGAACGGAAAGGCCCUGCUUUUGUGGGGUGCUCGAGUGGCGAACGGGUGAGUAACACGUGAGUAACCUGCCCUUGACUUUGGGAUAACUUCAGGAAACUGGGGCUAAUACCGGAUAGGAGCUCCUGCUGCAUGGUGGGGGUGGGAAAGUUUCGGCGGUUGGGGAUGGACUCGCGGCUUAUCAGCUUGUUGGUGGGGUAGUGGCUUACCAAGGCUUUGACGGGUAGCCGGCCUGAGAGGGUGACCGGCCACAUUGGGACUGAGAUACGGCCCGGACUCCUACGGGAGGCAGCAGUGGGGAAUAUUGCACAAUGGGCGGAAGCCUGAUGCAGCAACGCCGCGUGCGGGAUGACGGCCUUCGGGUUGUAAACCGCUUUCGCCUGUGACGAAGCGUGAGUGACGGUAAUGGGUAAAGAAGCACCGGCUAACUACGUG